rnacentral:lncRNA from 1 species
GUAGACCUGAGCCGUUCCUAUUCGGCCAUCUUGGCUCCUCAAAUCUAUAUUCAAAAGUCUCACUCAUUUUGCUGCUCAGCAGAAGGAUUGUAAAAAUGAAAAAUAAAAAAAAGGCUUUUACAUCAAAUAUUGAUAACGAUAAUAAUGAUUAACACAUGUGGAGCACUUACCAUCUCUCAAGCACUGCUCUAGAGCUUUCCAUGAAAGAAUCCCUCUAAUCUUCAGAACAAUCCUGUGAGGAGCUGCUGCCAAAUCAACACCUCGAUAUGUUUGUUCUUGGAGAGAAAUGAGCUAAGGAGGAAGACCGUCUAAAAAUACCACUGGACAAUUUGUACUCACUGGAGUGGUCUCUAUGGGGCAAAAGGUUUUUAGAGUGGCUCGUGGAUUUUCUGGCAAGUGGCAAACCAUACAAGAGCUACGUCAGGCCAGGAAGACAGGUACAGCCCUGUCGGUGUCAAAGAAGAACACCGGUAGCAGAAGAGCUAAGAGUGAAUGAAAAUGGAAUUAUCUUUACUUCUAGGACUUGUCUAUUGAGAAACAGCAGCGCUGGCAACCAUUUACUACCAACAAGAGGCAGUUGCAAGAGAAGAAUAUAAAAUAUGCUCUGCUCAACCCCACAAAACUCAGAGUGUCUCACAAUGGCCAAUUUAUUAUUUUUACCCUGUCCAGUGACAUGGAAGGAUGCAUCAGGGAGCUGCUAGCCUCUGCGAUGAAUAACUUAAGUCAGGCUGCAACAUGUGAAAUAAUUCAGCUGACCAGGAUUUAUAACACUAGCUAGAUUUUUUGCUUUCUUUGGGGUUCAUGAAGCAUGGUGUUGUGAGAUACCACAGGAGUCCCGGAGUAAAGUUACAUACCUAUUGCUCUUCCUUAUUUUUAUUUUUUGGUAUUUUCAUAUUAUUUUAUUGCCUAGUCCAAAUGUCUUCCUAAGCAGGGUCCAGCCUCCUAGGGGACACGUCUCUUCUGACUUUGAAAAUUAGAACCACAGACAGAUAAGACUUCUAAAUACUCUGUUUUUAUACCCUCUUCUUCACAUACCUAGUCCCAGGUGGUUUUGACUCCCUGAUGCUGUGUUGAUUGUGUUGGCCUUCAAUUUAUUUUGCUCAAUUAUUUAUGUGCAUCUGCCCAAAUAAGAGGUGUGGCAAUGCAGUGGCAUGCUUACAAUUCAGCCCAUCUCACUCCCUGGUUCAUAUGUCAGUUUGCAGGAUGGCUUGCUAGAUUUGCAAAGGGGUGUGGGGGACAGUUUCCAUCUGCUGCCAUUGCAAAACACAUCUUUCAGGGGCUACCUGGCAGGGCUGUUUUCUUUCCAGGUAAGGUUCAGGGACAUUUCCAUGCACUGAGUAGAGUCUGGAUCUUUGUUUUCCAGGUGCCUCAGAAGACUAGGACAUGGGGCAAUUGCAAAUCCUGGUCUUUGUACAUUACAUAGAACUUAGGGUAGGAAGGGACUUCAGAAGAUCAUCAGGUCAAAUUUCCCACUUCCUUGGAAUUCUCAUUUUUUAGAGGACCAAUGGUUGGCAACAUCCCUUUUUUGUGUUGUCAUUUGGAAAUUGUGUUAAAAGCCAUUCUUUCACAGUUGCUCUGUGGUCCUUCCAAUUUUCACUUUAACUGGGAAAUUUUAAUGAGAUCCUUCAAGCAAUUAAAAGAGUAGAAAAAAUACUCACAGAAGCAGAAUUUGGAGGGUAGCUAUGGCUUUUCUCUGUUGACAAACCCCCUUUUGACUUCUUGACAUCACUGAAUCAAGUCUUAGUGUCUUGAGAGGUUACUGCCUGAAUACAGGUUAAAUAUGUUAAUAUUCACUGAUUGGAGGAAAGUACCAUGAGCAAAUCUAAUGCAGGAUCCUGGAAUGCUGAGGGCAUUAGUGGCUCCAUAAAAUGUAAAUGCAUUCUUAAUUAUCUCAAGUCACUGCACGCCCAAGUAGCUCUUUUGUAAGAAAAACACAGCUUACUGAUAAUGAGCAUGAAAAUUACUAAGAGAUUGGUGGAGUAAAUCUCUUAAACCUCCUUUCUUUUCUUUUCUUUUUUUCUUCUCCAAAUUUUGAUGUGACUUCGCUAAUUUGAGUAUGUGUCUCUUUUUAGAUUCUACAGAUAACCUUAGGGCCCCACAAGGCAUUUUGGGUGAUUGAAAUAAUAGCAGUUUGUACCUUACGGGAACCUCUAAAGAUGAUGAUGAUUAUUAUUAUUAUCAUGACUGAUUUUAUUGAAUCUAUGAGGCUUAUGAGGUCUUAAGUUCAAGAUCAGCCUGGC